UACGGAGGGAGCUAGCGUUGUUCGGAAUUACUGGGCGUAAAGCGCACGUAGGCGGCGACACAAGUCAGAGGUGAAAGCCCGGGGCUCAACUCCGGAACUGCCUUUGAAACUGGGUUGCUAGAAUCUUGGAGAGGCGAGUGGAAUUCCGAGUGUAGAGGUGAAAUUCGUAGAUAUUCGGAAGAACACCAGUGGCGAAGGCGACUCGCUGGACAAGUAUUGACGCUGAGGUGCGAAAGCGUGGGGAGCAAACAGG
rnacentral:rRNA from 1 species